rnacentral:rRNA from 1 species
GUGCCAGCAGCCGCGGUAAGACGAACCGUGCGAACGUUAUUCGGAUUCACUGGGCUUAAAGGGCGCGUAGGCGGCUCCGCGAGUCGGGGGUGAAAUCGUUCCGCUCAACGGGACAAGGGCCUCCGAGACCGCGGGACUCGAGGGGGAGAGGGGUGCGCGGAACUUCCGGUGGAGCGGUGAAAUGCGUAGAUAUCGGAAGGAACGCCGGUGGCGAAAGCGGCGCACUGGAUCCCUACUGACGCUGAAGCGCGAAAGCCAGGGGAGCAAACGGGAUUAGAUACCCCCGUAGUCC